rnacentral:rRNA from 1 species
AUUAAACGCUGGCGGCAUGCCUUACACAUGCAAGUCGAACGGCAGCACGGGGGCAACCCUGGUGGCGAGUGGCGGACGGGUGAGUAAAGCAUCGGAACGUAUCCUGGAGUGGGGGGAUAACGUAGCGAAAGUUACGCUAAUACCGCAUAUUCUGUGAGCAGGAAAGCAGGGGAUCGCAAGACCUUGCGCUCUGGGAGCGGCCGAUGUCGGAUUAGCUAGUUGGUGGGUAAAGGCCUACCAAGGCGACGAUCCGUAGCGGGUCUGAGAGGAUGAUCCGCCACACUGGGACUGAGACACGGCCCAGACUCCUACGGGAGGCAGCAGUGGGGAAUUUUGGACAAUGGGCGCAAGCCUGAUCCAGCCAUGCCGCGUGAGUGAAGAAGGCCU